UAAGCGACUAAGCGUACACGGUGGAUGCCCUGGCAGUCAGAGGCGAUGAAGGACGUGCUAAUCUGCGAUAAGCGUCGGUAAGGUGAUAUGAACCGUUAUAACCGGCGAUUUCCGAAUGGGGAAACCCAGUGUGUUUCGACACACUAUCAUUAACUGAAUCCAUAGGUUAAUGAGGCGAACCGGGGGAACUGAAACAUCUAAGUACCCCGAGGAAAAGAAAUCAACCGAGAUUCCCCCAGUAGCGGCGAGCGAACGGGGAGGAGCCCAGAGCCUGAAUCAGUGUGUGUGUUAGUGGAAGCGUCUGGAAAGGCGCGCGAUACAGGGUGACAGCCCCGUACACAAAAAUGCACAUGCUGUGAGCUCGAUGAGUAGGGCGGGACACGUGGUAUCCUGUCUGAAUAUGGGGGGACCAUCCUCCAAGGCUAAAUACUCCUGACUGACCGAUAGUGAACCAGUACCGUGAGGGAAAGGCGAAAAGAACCCCGGCGAGGGGAGUGAAAAAGAACCUGAAACCGUGUACGUACAAGCAGUGGGAGCCUCUUUUAUGGGGUGACUGCGUACCUUUUGUAUAAUGGGUCAGCGACUUAUAUUCUGUAGCAAGGUUAACCGAAUAGGGGAGCCGAAGGGAAACCGAGUCUUAACUGGGCGUUAAGUUGCAGGGUAUAGACCCGAAACCCGGUGAUCUAGCCAUGGGCAGGUUGAAGGUUGGGUAACACUAACUGGAGGACCGAACCGACUAAUGUUGAAAAAUUAGCGGAUGACUUGUGGCUGGGGGUGAAAGGCCAAUCAAACCGGGAGAUAGCUGGCUCUCCCCGAAAGCUAUUUAGGUAGCGCCUCGUGAAUUCAUCUCCGGGGGUAGAGCACUGUUUCGGCAAGGGGGUCAUCCCGACUUACCAACCCGAUGCAAACUGCGAAUACCGGAGAAUGUUAUCACGGGAGACACACGGCGGGUGCUAACGUCCGUCGUGAAGAGGGAAACAACCCAGACCGCCAGCUAAGGUCCCAAAGUCAUGGUUAAGUGGGAAACGAUGUGGGAAGGCCCAGACAGCCAGGAUGUUGGCUUAGAAGCAGCCAUCAUUUAAAGAAAGCGUAAUAGCUCACUGGUCGAGUCGGCCUGCGCGGAAGAUGUAACGGGGCUAAACCAUGCACCGAAGCUGCGGCAGCGACGCUUAUGCGUUGUUGGGUAGGGGAGCGUUCUGUAAGCCUGUGAAGGUGUACUGUGAGGUAUGCUGGAGGUAUCAGAAGUGCGAAUGCUGACAUAAGUAACGAUAAAGCGGGUGAAAAGCCCGUCUCGCCGGAAGACCAAGGGUUCCUGUCCAACGUUAAUCGGGGCAGGGUGAGUCGACCCCUAAGGCGAGGCCCGAAAGGCGUAGUCGAUGGGAAACAGGUUAAUAUUCCUGUACUUGGUGUUACUGCGAAGGGGGGACGGAGAAGGCUAUGUUGGCCGGGCGACGGUUGUCCCGGUUUAAGCGUGUAGGCUGGUUUUCCAGGCAAAUCCGGAAAAUCAAGGCUGAGGCGUGAUGACGAGGCACUACGGUGCUGAAGCAACAAAUGCCCUGCUUCCAGGAAAAGCCUCUAAGCAUCAGGUAACAUCAAAUCGUACCCCAAACCGACACAGGUGGUCAGGUAGAGAAUACCAAGGCGCUUGAGAGAACUCGGGUGAAGGAACUAGGCAAAAUGGUGCCGUAACUUCGGGAGAAGGCACGCUGAUAUGUAGGUGAAGUCCCUCGCGGAUGGAGCUGAAAUCAGUCGAAGAUACCAGCUGGCUGCAACUGUUUAUUAAAAACACAGCACUGUGCAAACACGAAAGUGGACGUAUACGGUGUGACGCCUGCCCGGUGCCGGAAGGUUAAUUGAUGGGGUCAGCGCAAGCGAAGCUCUUGAUCGAAGCCCCGGUAAACGGCGGCCGUAACUAUAACGGUCCUAAGGUAGCGAAAUUCCUUGUCGGGUAAGUUCCGACCUGCACGAAUGGCGUAAUGAUGGCCAGGCUGUCUCCACCCGAGACUCAGUGAAAUUGAACUCGCUGUGAAGAUGCAGUGUACCCGCGGCAAGACGGAAAGACCCCGUGAACCUUUACUAUAGCUUGACACUGAACAUUGAGCCUUGAUGUGUAGGAUAGGUGGGAGGCUUUGAAGUGUGGACGCCAGUCUGCAUGGAGCCGACCUUGAAAUACCACCCUUUAAUGUUUGAUGUUCUAACGUGGACCCGUAAUCCGGGUUGCGGACAGUGUCUGGUGGGUAGUUUGACUGGGGCGGUCUCCUCCUAAAGAGUAACGGAGGAGCACGAAGGUUGGCUAAUCCUGGUCGGACAUCAGGAGGUUAGUGCAAUGGCAUAAGCCAGCUUGACUGCGAGCGUGACGGCGCGAGCAGGUGCGAAAGCAGGUCAUAGUGAUCCGGUGGUUCUGAAUGGAAGGGCCAUCGCUCAACGGAUAAAAGGUACUCCGGGGAUAACAGGCUGAUACCGCCCAAGAGUUCAUAUCGACGGCGGUGUUUGGCACCUCGAUGUCGGCUCAUCACAUCCUGGGGCUGAAGUAGGUCCCAAGGGUAUGGCUGUUCGCCAUUUAAAGUGGUACGCGAGCUGGGUUUAGAACGUCGUGAGACAGUUCGUUCCCUAUCUGCCGUGGGCGCUGGAGAACUGAGGGGGGCUGCUCCUAGUACGAGAGGACCGGAGUGGACGCAUCACUGGUGUUCGGGUUGUCAUGCCAAUGGCACUGCCCGGUAGCUAAAUGCGGAAGAGAUAAGUGCUGAAAGCAUCUAAGCACGAAACUUGCCCCGAGAUGAGUUCUCCCUGACCCUUUAAGGGUCCUGAAGGAACGUUGAAGACGACGACGUUGAUAGGCCGGGUGUGUAAGCGCAGCGAUGCGUUGAGCUAACCGGUACUAAUGAACCGUGAGGCUUAACCU
rnacentral:rRNA from 1 species